rnacentral:misc_RNA from 1 species
AAAGUCGUAACAAGGUCUCCGUUGGUGAACCAGCGGAGGGAUCAUUACAGAGUUGCAAAACUCCCAACCAUUGUGAACCUACCUCACCGUUGCUUCGGCGGGUGGCCCCCACCGGGGCCGCGCCGGCCCCCGGGCCGGCAACCCGUCAGAGGACCGAAACUCUUAGUAAUCAUUGGCCUCUCUGAGUAACUUAUACAAUAAGUCAAAACUUUCAACAACGGAUCUCUUGGUUCUG